rnacentral:rRNA from 1 species
GACGAGGGGUCCUAGCGUUGUUCGGAAUCAUUGGGCGUAAAGCGUAUGUAGGCUGCCAUUCAAGUCAGGGGUGAAAUCCCGGAGCUCAACUCCGGAACUGCCUUUGAAACUGCAGUGCUAGAAUCCUGGAGAGGCGAGUGGAAUUCCGAGUGUAGAGGUGAAAUUCGUAGAUAUUCGGAAGAACACCAGUGGCGAAGGCGACUCGCUGGACAGGUAUUGACGCUGAGGUGCGAAAGCGUGGGGAGCAAACAGG